GACGAACGCUGGCGGCGUGCUUAACACAUGCAAGUCGAACGGAAAGGCCCUGCUUUUGUGGGGUGCUCGAGUGGCGAACGGGUGAGUAACACGUGAGUAACCUGCCCUUGACUUUGGGAUAACUUCAGGAAACUGGGGCUAAUACCGGAUAGGAGCUCCUGCUGCAUGGUGGGGGUUGGAAAGUUUCGGCGGUUGGGGAUGGACUCGCGGCUUAUCAGCUUGUUGGUGGGGUAGUGGCGUACCAAGGCUUUGACGGGUAGCCGGCCUGAGAGGGUGACCGGCCACAUUGGGACUGAGAUACGGCCCAGCCUCCUACGGGAGGCAGCAGUGGGGAAUAUUGCACAAUGGGCGGAAGCCUGAUGCAGCAACGCCGCGUGCGGGAUGACGGCCUUCGGGUUGUAAACCGCUUUCGCCUGUGACGAAGCGUGAGUGACGGUAAUGGGUAAAGAAGCACCGGCUAACUACGUG
rnacentral:rRNA from 1 species